CAGCACAUUGUUUUUAUGCUUCUGCUUUAGAUUAGAAAUUCCUUUCCAGAUGCUCACUAUUUAGCUUUGAUGUCUUUCACAGUGCUCUGGUCUUCCUCCGAUGUCUGAAGCUGAGGCUCAUGCUUUUGAAGUCAACUCUUUUGGCCUCUACAAUGAAUUAUCAGAGCUUGUUGAGUUAGGAGGUGCGGAUAACAACUUAAACACCAGCAAUGUGGAAACUACAGAUUACCUCAUGUUGCCACCUGACAGAGAACUGUCGGCUAAUGAUUACAUGGAACUAAACGAUCUCCUUGCUCUUGACCCAAGCUUCUCCAGUGAAUUUUCUGCUCAGGACAAUCAAUAUAUGCAACAUCCUCUUGCUCAGUACAAUGGACAUUAUGAUCUGUCAGGUCCUUCAGAGCCAACAAUGCCUAGCAUUUUCGAUGUUUUUCCUCCCAAUAAUGGAGUCCUCGCAACAGAUGAUCCAGCCAACUACUUGGACCCAGCCAUGCAGUUCCCUUUCUCAUGAUUGGUCACCAUUUGUCAUGGAGCUCGCUGUUGCUACAACUCUAUCCACCCUGAACGUCAAGGACGUCAUUGAUGUCAUGCCUGGGCUCAUGAAAUCGUCUGUUGCUCUUCUGAACCAAGCCGACCUUGGCUGGUAUUUCUUGUAAGCACGGUGCUUGGAACAAUCUGCAUCGACUGCUGUAUGCUCCCAACUGGUUGAGCUAAUGGCCAAUCUCGGCUCACUCUGCUGAGGAGAUCAUAGCCUGUAAAUCUUUGUUUAUGCUAUUACUUGUGUGUAUCGCAACCUGCCUGAUUACCAUUGUCUUGUGUUUUGAGUUUUGACAAUAUGCAAACCAUAAUAAUGUCGUAAUAUGGAACUCGUUUAUCAUGUUUAUUCCAUCCUCCCGUUAUGUGAGCUUUUGGAUGGUCGAUGCUUUCUAA